GUGCUCGCUUAGGCAGCAUGUAUACUAAAAAUUGGAACGAUACAGAGAAGAUUAGCAUGGCCCCUGCGUAAGGAUGACGUGCAAAUUCAUGAAGCAUUCCAUAUUAAA